rnacentral:lncRNA from 1 species
ACAGGGCUAUAUUUAUUUCUACUUUAAAGAGUAAUUUUAAAGUAAAAUAGGUACAAAGAUAAUUCACAAUGGUAGUUACAAAAAACACUGUUAUUUUAUAUGUUAUGUCACCAACCUGCUGAGUCAUUGUUCAUAAGAUAUUUAUCAGAUAAAAACAAAAGCCUUCUGGCUCUAGCUGAAGUCGCCUGUGCAAAAUAUAAUUAUAAUCUAGAUCUUAAGUUUCUGAUCAAAAUCACCAAUGAAUAUUAUAAAAUUAAGUUAUAGUUCCUUCUCCAUUUGUAUUUCCAAUUACCAUGUUAGAGUUUUUAAAAAGAAAUAAAGCUGCAAGUUUCUCAAGACCAGUAACAGUAUCUCAGGAACAGAAUGGGAAGAAACAUAAACAUAAUCAUGUAUUACAGGUUCUGUGGAACAGCUUUUCAAAAUUAAGUUUAAAAGUAGACAAAACUUGGUGUUUUGAGUAACCUGGGGCUUUCUUCCUUAAUUCAUUUCGGCCAGAGCUAAAGUGAGCAAUAUGUCAAAUUAACUUGCUCAGUUUUCUUUUUUCAACUUUUUCAAUGCCCUUUAGGAACAUCAUUACUGAGAAGCUAUUGUUGGCAUUUACUGCACAAAACCUGAUUCUAGAAGGUUGAUACUGCAAUAGCUUAAAUAUCACAAAACUGGGGAAAAUUGUAUGGUACCAGUUAUUUCACUAUACUAAAAUGAAAAAUAGUCUGGAGAUAAACCAUUUUUGGUUGAAAAGAAAAAAGGCUUUAGAAUGGUUUUAA